AUGCUCCAGAUUCCACCCAGGCUCUGCUGCUAACGGAGGGCUCCAUCUCCACCGUCCAGCCUGCCUCACUGUCUGAGCUCAGCAACGUUACAGUGUUAGGUUUGAGCAAUAACCAAAUCUCAGAACUUGGAAGGGAAGCCUUCAAAAGCCUGCAGCUCCUCCACACCCUACUGCUGGACCACAACCUCCUGACCAGCCAGGCCCUACAGGGAGGAGCUCUGACCAACCUGACUCAGCUGAAGGUUCUUGCUCUGGGCCACAACCUCAUCAGCAUGAUACAGGCCGGCUGGUUUAAAGGCACAACGGCUCUGGUUAGCUUGAAGCUGGAGGGAAAUCUGCUAACUAGUUUGGAUUCCAGUUCAUUUCCUCAGAAUGACCUCAGAGAACUGGAGAGUCUGGAUCUGUCAGACAAUCUGAUCAGUCAUCUGGACCAGAACAGGUUUUUCUUUUUUUUUCUUUUACUGUAUUUUGUUUAUUUUGAAGAAGCAAAAUAAUCAACAAAUUCAAUAAAAGUUUUUUUUUAUGAUCUCAGUUUCCAAGGGUUGGUGGGUCUGCGGACUCUGGAUCUCUCCAGGAAUCGCUUGAGUUCUGCUCCUGCUGAAGCCUUUUCCUACCUAAACUGGCUGACGAACCUGAAUCUGGACCUCAACUCGUGGAACUGCACCUGUGAGCUGCUGGAGCUCACAGCCGUCCUGACAGCUUUUAUUCAACAACCCGACAAGGUUAACUAAGUUUUAGUUAGUAAAAAAAAAAGCCUCUAAUCUUAAUUUAUGUUUAAUUAAUCACUAUGUUUAAAAAUAUAACAAAACCAUGGAAUGGUUCGUUUUUGUUUAUCAAGAAUACUAAAUAAAAAUGAAGUGAUGGUUUCGAGGUUUCAAGGAUUUCUUCAUCCUUUCCAGACCCUUUAUAACGGCCGCAGGAUGGUGUGUGUGAGCGCUGACAACCCGGCUGUGACCACGGUUCUGGAGCUGACUGAGGCUAACUGUGUUACUUCCAAUCAGAACAUCAAGGUCCAGAUAGAGAGCAAAGCCAGUGUGACACUUCAGGAGUACGCUCGAGAUCUGGCCAUCACUGCAGUCCUGUGCUUUAUUGGUGGUGUUGCUUUGACUCUUUUGGGGGUCCUGGUCUACUAUCAAAUUUCCAGGAGGAAAAAACGCCAAGAAAGGCUUAAAAAUGGGCAAGCGCGUCGAAACAUGGUGAAUCCCAUCAGCCGCCUUGAUGUUAGUGAGAGAAGAAAGCAUUUCUUCAUGGAGGCAAACAGCAGGAACACGACAGCUCUGGCUGUGGAUGCAUGGACAGAUGCUCAGGCUAAAGUCAGAGCAGACGAGAAUGGUGGCUAUUUGCAAUUUCAUAACCAUAGAACCGCCGUACCGGGGUCAAACCCAGCGAGACGGGACUACUGGAUGAAUGGAGGGAUGAAGACGGAAGAUCACCAAGAGAUGAGAAGAGUAAUGAUGGAAGAGAAAGGGAGGGCAAGCCUUCAAAUGAGAACCUCCAUCGGGGAAAUGCCUGAAAACUUUUAUUUACGUGGCCAAAGAAACUCUUCUUCUCAUUUGCAGAUUGGUAGUUUGAAAGCCCAAACUAGUCCAGAUUUAAGCAGUAAGAGGAUUCCAAACGGUGAGUCCUGCCACAACAUGUACAGACCACCAGAGCACAAUCUGAGAUAUGCAAAGACUCUCUCCUACUAUGAAGAUACGUCUGCUCACAACAGCAGAGGAAGGAAUGGUCACCACCCGUUUGACAAGACAAAGAGUGGUGGGCUCAGAAAUGUAACUUUUGAUCUGGGGAAUCUUAUAACUAAUCAAGAGAGAAACAAUCGGGAGGAGGAACGUCGUCCAGACUCUGGCAAAGAGAAAAUAAAAGAAAGGUCACACAAAGAUCCAUCCAGCCGCCCGUUCAAAGUCAAACUAAACCUAAAACCUCUACGAAAAAGCAAAGUUCAACCCCGAUUGAAAGCUGAGCAGGGCCACACGGAGAAAAGCCCCCCGAAAAGCAGUAAAAAGAAAAAACGGGACGAAAAGGAAAGACUGGAGAAGCACAAGAAAGGAAAGUCAGGAAAGAAAAGCAAGAAUGGCAGCGAGAAAAAGAAGAAAAUGUCUGAAGAAAAAGCAAAAAAUGAAGAGAAAGAAAAGAAUCAAGAAGGUGAUGCAGAUCAAACUUCUGCUAAGCAGAAAGAAUCCACAAAUCAUGAAGAAGGUCAGAAAAGUGCAGAUCCGGGUCAGAGUGACAACACAUUCCAGCCUGCUGAACACCAGGCAGCGUCUGCUGAUGCACCAACACAAAGCUGGCACGGUUUCCAGUAUCCUGCAGCUGCACCAACGCAACUUCCUUCCAAACAUCCCUUCUCUUUGAUUUCUGCUGACAGGAAUAGCACCAGCAACCUGUCCCUGCUUGGGACAACCACCUCACCUUUAAUCGGCAGCAACCUUUCUCUUCAAGGAGGGAAUACUUUGCUUAAACUUGCAGCUCCUGGAAUGAACACACCUGGAAGUCCAGCUAAUUUCCCCCCUUCUGGGAUCACAUUAGGGGGACUAAGUGUGACUCCUAAAGCUCCAGGAGGGACGGUGUCUUUAGUUCCUUCCCUUCAAAGUAACCAGCUUCUUGCUCAGGCUUUGCAAGCAAGUGCAAUGCCUGCUGCACCUGCACAGUCCCAGCUGGUUCCUGAAAACUCCCUUGCAGCUGUUCUGAAACACGAUCCAGGACUAGUCCAAGCCCUUCCAACAGAGGGAGCCCUUCUGCAGAUACCUACUGAAUCUCAGGCAUCGUGGUCCAAGCAAAGCCCUGCUGAGAAGGACCAGGAUGACACAGGUGGAGCAACUUCUCAGCCUCUUCAAGGAUUGACCACAGUAGAGAAUAUAUUAACCAACAACAACCAGACAAACACCGGGUCCAAUCCCGAGGUUCCAACAGCUAUCACGGGAACUGGAGGCGCAGACAAAUCUGAAGAAACUGUAGUGGAAGACUCUGUGCCUUCAACAUCCUCACAGAUCCUCUCCUCUUCUGAAGCUGCUGCUGCUCUGCUGCAGCAGGAGUACCUGUCAGCUGAAGGAGACUCCUCCCCAAGAAGGAGGCUUAGGCUGGUACUUCCUGAAAAAACAUCAGAUCGUCCCCCAACUGCACUGGAAAGAAAAAUACGCUAGACGCUCUGUUUUGUUCGGAACUCCAAGGUCCGGGUCCCAGUGCUUUUCUCACUGGAAGUGGUGUGUACACUAGAGAGAGCAUCAGUUUAUCCUCCAUAGAGCCAACUAUUGAUGUGAUUAGAGCCAAUGAACUGAAGAGUUUUAGAGGUGAUAACAAAGACUGUAGGGGAGCGACCGCACAGACAGAAGUUCACUCCAAACAUCUCAACAUUGUUUCAAAAAUAGGCACUCGGACUGAUAAAACCGCUUCCCUGAUCACCCGAUUUAACCCCCAGAUACAGACAAACACACAGUUGUCUGGAAUAAAAAGCAAACUAUCAAAAAAUGGCUUACACCAGUAUGUAAAUACCCUUUUUUUGGUGUUGACCCUUCGGCAUGAAUGUCCCUUUGGAAACCUCCAGUGGUCAUUUGAGGAACUGCAACAUUUGACAUUUCCUGGUUGGCUUCAAGGUCAGGAAUAGAAUAGGGGGGAUUGAUCACAAAUUACAUUUUCUAUGGGUUCGAACUCUUUUUAGUUAAAAGCAUCUUUAACCUUUUAACAUCGGAGCUUUAGCUCCAGUGUUUAUGUUCUUUCGACUACUGUAACUCUUUGACCGUUUACGCAAUUCAGUCGAUUCUGAAGCUCAAUCAAGACUAAAUAGAGAUUUUAAUUGUUGGUCCUAAAGCUGAGCGACAGAUGUUCCAAUUUUACUUAUUAACUCAUAACUUGAAAGUCUGCAAUAAAGUCAGAAAGCUCCUAAAACCUACUAUUAACCAGCUGCAGCUUGUUCAAAACUUGGCUGCAUGCCUCUUCACUAAGACCAGAAAGAAGGAGCACAUUAUACCAAAACAUCUGCACUGGUCCCCAGUCAAUUUUAAGAUCCUUUUUUCGUAGUUUCUAAACGUUUUCAUAGAAUUGGACCUUCAUUUUUUUUUAAAAUCAGAAUUACUUUUUCGUUUAUGACCCUCCCAGAGCCCUCAGGUCAGGUCUGCUGGUGGUUCCAAAGGUCAGCACUUUGGGCCUCGCCUGUCUGGGGAGGAGAGGGCUUCAUCCACUGUGAAGGUUUUUAUGAAAAAAACGCAGAACUCAUCUUUUUAUUUCAACUAGAAGUUGAUUUUGUAUUUCCUUAUGUUUUGAUUUGAUUUUACAGACAGUUUUUCCCUGUUGGUUUUUGUAGAACGUGUAUGCGUGUUGGGGGGGGGGGGUUAUUAUGGUUACUAUUUUUACUAUAUUAUUUAAGUAUUUUAUGUAAAGCACUUUGAGGUGUUCUGUAGCAGGAAAAGUGCUCCAUAAAUAAAGCUGAAGAUGAAUUUGAAGCAGAGAAAAGCAGCCUUGCGCUGUAGUGCAACACAGUAGUAACAUGAUCAAUAUUCUGUCACAGACAAAAGCCUCUUUACGCCGUAAGACCUUUUUCUCUGCGUCAGAAUCCCUUUAUUCACGUUGAUCGCACAAACAGCUGAAGAGUUAAAGUAUGUCAAAAGGUGCGUGAUAUUUAGGUGUCGCCGGCGACAUUUUCGAUGUUAAAGAGUUAAGUCUCCUG
ensembl:lncRNA